rnacentral:rRNA from 1 species
GAUGAACGCUGGCGGCGUGCCUAACACAUGCAAGUCGAGCGAGAUAAAUGUGAGUGGAGACUUCGGUCAAAGCGAUCAUUUUGAAAGCGGCGGGCGGGUGAGUAACGCGUGAGCAAUCUGCCCCAUACAAAGGGAUACCCACUGGAAACGGUGAUUAAUACCUUAUAAGACCACGAAGUCGCCUGGCUUAGUGGCCAAAGAUUUAUCGGUAUAGGAUGAGCUCGCGUCUGAUUAGCUAGUUGGUGAGGUAAUGGCUCACCAAGGCGACGAUCAGUAGCCGACCUGAGAGGGUGAACGGCCACACUGGAACUGAGACACGGUCCAGACUCCUACGGGAGGCAGCAGUGGGGAAUAUUGCACAAUGGGCGCAAGCCUGAUGCAGCAACGCCGCGUGAAUGAUGAAGGCCUUCGGGUCGUAAAGUUCUGUCCUAAGGGAAGAAUACAGUGACGGUACCUUAGGAGGAAGCCCCGGCUAACUACGUGCCAGCAGCCGCAGUAA